UGGGGAAUAUUGCACAAUGGGCGGAAGCCUGAUGCAGCGACGCCGCGUGGGGGAUGACGGCCUUCGGGUUGUAAACCUCUUUCAGUGCAGAACAAGGCUCUUUGUGGGUUGAGGGUAUGCGCAGAAGAAGCGCCGGCUAACUACGUGCCAGCAGCCGCGGUAAUCCGUAGGGCGCGAGCGUUGUCCGGAUUUAUUGGGCGUAAAGAGCUCGUCGGCGGCUUGUCGCGUCCGCUGUGAAAUCCUCUGGCUUAACUGGGGGCGUGCAGUGGGUACGGGCGGACUGGAGUGCGGUGGGGGGGACUGGGAUGCCUGGUGUAGCGGUGGAAUGCGCAGAUAUCAGGAGGAACGCCGGUGGCGAAGGCGGGUCUCUGGGCCGUUACUGACGCUGAGGGGCGAAAGCAUGGGGAGCGAACAG
rnacentral:rRNA from 1 species